rnacentral:snRNA from 1 species
GUGCUGAUUUCUACUCAAGUUCAACAGCAUGUACAGUAAAGCUGGAACAAGAUGGGGAAGAUCUGCAUAGCCCCUGCGCAGGAAUGACAUGCAAAUCUGUGAAGUGUUCCAUAUUUUC